CCUACGGGAGGCAGCAGUGGGGAAUAUUGGACAAUGGGGGCAACCCUGAUCCAGCCAUGCCGCGUGUGUGAAGAAGGCCCUCGGGUUGUAAAGCACUUUCAGUGAGGAAGAACGCCUGGUGGUUAAUACCCAUCAGGAAAGACAUCACUCACAGAAGAAGCACCGGCUAACUCCGUGCCAGCAGCCGCGGUAAUACGGAGGGUGCGAGCGUUAAUCGGAAUUACUGGGCGUAAAGCGCGCGUAGGUGGCUUGAUAAGCCGGUUGUGAAAGCCCCGGGCUCAACCUGGGAACGGCAUCCGGAACUGUCAAGCUAGGGUGCAGGAGAGGAAGGUAGAAUUCCCGGUGUAGCGGUGAAAUGCGUAGAGAUCGGGAGGAAUACCAGUGGCGAAGGCGGCCUUCUGGACUGACACUGACACUGAGGUGCGAAAGCGUGGGUAGCAAACAGGAUUAGAUACCCGAGUAGUC
rnacentral:rRNA from 1 species